GGAUGGAGGGCGCCUGCGGCUGCGCGGGAACGCGCUGAAGCGCUGCGGGCAGCGCGCGGGAGCCGGGACGGAGCGGAGCUAAAGAAGUAAACAGCUCAUGGCACGUUUAACAAAAAGAUGACAGGCGGAUACAAAAGCUAUCCAGCAUCUUUGGGCAGCCAUUGAGAUUAUACGGAACCAGAAGCAAAUUGCCAACAUUGACCGUAUUACCAACUAAAGAAGUAAACAGCUCAUGGCACGUUUAACAAAAAGAUGACAGGCGGAUACAAAAGCUAUCCAGCAUCUUUGGGCAGCCAUUGAGAUUAUACGGAACCAGAAGCAAAUUGCCAACAUUGACCGUAUUACCAAGACUGUCGUGCUCCAGCUCCUGAGGACUUUACCAUGGAUCCGUGCGUUACUGUGAAUCGUCUCACGUGAGGAUGUCUCACCCUGUCCAUUGCAGCUGCAAGAUUUCCAAUCAAGAUGUAAAGGGUGAAGAAUCAAAGAACAAAGAAUCAGUAACAAGUGAAAUUUAAGCCUUCAGUCAUGCAGAUUCCUAAUAUGAUUCAUAACUCAUUGUCAUGUUAUUUCUCUAAAUGCCAUGUAUAGUUUAAUGUCCAAUAAAAUCAAGUUACAUAUAUCA